rnacentral:ncRNA from 1 species
UAGGGGCAAGCUGAAAACCCUAGAGAAAAGAGUAGGCA